rnacentral:lncRNA from 1 species
UUUGGGGGGAAAUCACCCAGAUUUGGGGUGAAAUCCCACAGUUUUGGGGGGAAAUCCCACAGAUUUGGGGGGGAAGACUAAAGUUUUGGGGUCAAAUCCCAGAGAUCUGGGGGGAAAUCCCACAGGUUUGGGGGGGAAAACAAAGUUUUGGGGUCAAAUCCCACAGGUUUGGGGUCAGGGGGGAAAUUAUCUGGAUUUGGGGUCAAAUCCCACAGGUUUGGGGGGAAAUCACCCAGAUUUGGGGUGAAAUCCCACAGUUUUGGGGGGAAAUCCCACAGGUUUGGGGGGGAAAACAAAGUUUUGGUGUCAAAUCCCACAGGUUUGGGGGGAAAUCCCACAGGUUUGGGGUCAAAUCCCAGAGUUUUGGGGGAAAAUCCCACAGAUUUGGAGGGAAAACCGAAGUUUUGGGGUCAAAUCCCACAGGUUUGGGGUCAAAUCCCCCAGAUUUGGGGUCAAAUCCUAAAGUCUGUGGGUCCAGUCCCACAGUUCUGCAGUCAAAAAGCCACGCUGGGGCCACACGAAACCAUUUUGGGGCCAAUCGGAGCCAUUUUGGGGCCACGGCAACCAUUUUGAGCAGAAUUUUAGCCAUUUUGGGGCCAUUUAAGUCCAUUUUGGGGCCAUUCUAGGGCCGUUUUGGGGCAAAUUAAGCGGAUUUUGGGUCUUUUGGGUACCUUGGUGUGGCCAGUCUUGGAGCUGCACAUCUCCACCAUCCUACAAGGGCCAUUUUGGGGCCAUUUUUUACCAUUUUGGGGCCAUUUUUAACCAUUUUAGGGCCAUU